rnacentral:tRNA from 1 species
AGAGAGAUGGCAGAGCGGUCGAAUGCGGCGGUCUUGAAAACCGUUGAACUGCGAGGUUCCGGGGGUUCGAAUCCCUCUCUCUCUACGU